GAUCUAGGGUCUUGCUUAGGAUGAUGUAACUAGUGUGUCAUAGAGCUUAGAUCUGUGCUCAUGCGUGUUACCUGGGUUACAUAAGGUGACUGCAGCUCUGAAGCAGAAAAGCCAAGUAACUCUUUCUUCUCAUCAGACCCCAAAAGAUGGGGCUUGUUACGGAGAGGGUAUGAAAAGAGGCUGCUUGCUCAAUGUGCCUAAGACCAUCUUUAUUUGUGCUGUUUUAUAAUCUGGGUAAAACUAGGAAUGUAGAAGCAAACUUAGGUCAUAGUGAAGACAGGGAGAAAGGACAGUGCCUGUUACCCAACUGUGUGUAUGCUACAAUAAUGAAGAACACCACCAUUUACAAUGAGUUAGCACAUGAACUUCCUGGAGCUCCAGAGGGAAGUAGAAAUGCAAAUCCAGCCUGACCCUCAAGAUUCUUCAGCAACCCUUCGGUGUUACUUCUUGCUCAACCCAACCUAAUAUACCACCUCCUCCUGGCCUGUUACAAAUGAGAAAAUCAAGGCUCAAAGAUGAAGUGUUCUCUAAGGUCCCAGAGUUAGCUGGUGGCAGAGGUGGGACUAGAAGCUAGGUCUUCUAACUCCUACCCCUGCCCUCUUUCCAAUAUGCAAAUAUCCUGCCUGAUAUGUAUUACAGAUGAUGGUGACAGAAAUCACAAUGGCAGCAAUCACUGACUGGAUGCUUACUCAUGGCCAGAGACAGUAUUAAGUAUUUUUCAUGAAUGAUUUCACAUAAUCCUCAGAAUUUCAAAUCCACCAGGUAGAUGAGGAAACAGAGGCUCAGAAGGAUCAUGCAACUUCACCAAGACCCUGCUGCAGAAUCUUCUUGGGCCGUUACUCCCUCGGAGUGAAGCAAAUCCUUCAUAGGGAAUGCUGGAUGUGCCUGUAACAAACUGUCAACCCAAGAAAACAGAAGGAGAAGGUGAAGCCAGAGACCAAUAGCCAGGAAAGGCAUCACGUCAUUCACGGGCAGAGCUCCUGAGGAAGGGCAGGCAGGAAAGUUCUGAAGACAAAACUUCGCAGGUGUGGAGUAGUCACAACACAAUUCUGACACAGAGCCAGAAGAUAAUACUAAGAAAGAGAAUACUGUGCAUGAUAAAGGGAAAGGGGAUGUGGAGGGUUUGUAGAAAAUAAAGCACCUGAUGCAGCUGACCAGCUCAGAAGCUUAAACCGGGCACAUUUCCCACUAUAGAUGAAUAAAGUGGGAUCAAUUAACCUGAGUCAACUUAGCAUCAGUCCCUGAUCAAUGUCAGGUGAAUUUAAAAAAGAGAAUGUCUGGGCCUGCAAUUUUGAGGCCAAGACCCUUAAUCCAAAGGAGCUAAGAGUACUUGUAAGGCUCUGCCUGAGCAUCCAGAGGCUUCCUUGUGUCUGGUAUUUCUAUAGCUGCAACCAAUCAGUAAUUGUCCUGGAUGACCAUAAACACCACACGCAAAAAAAAAAAAAACACAAGUCAGUUUUCCCACUGUUCUUGAAUGUCACUGUUUUCUCAAAUUUGUGGAAAGUUAGAUGAAAGAGAAGAAAGGACUGUCAACUAACUGCAUCCCUUUUUAAAGAACUGAAAAUCAUUUCUUUCUGCUGCUAGGGAUGCCGGCCUGCACUUUGGGUACCCUGGGUGCUUCUUGCUGAAGGGUCCAAGCUGUCCUGAAGGCAGAUGUUGUCACUGGGAUUCUUGGACUGGACUUGACACUUCCCCAAACUCUCAUGAAAUGCUUUAACUUGGCUUAGGGAAGUUCUGAAUAGCCAUGGAGUCACAUAACCAUGCAAUCAGGAGUCUGGAAAUGGUGUAUCCCAUAUUUCCAGAUACACAUGGUAUGUGUUUAUGGAGAAUAGUUAGCAGUUAUUAAAAACAUACACUUCCAACAAUAAUCAUAUUGAUACAUUUAAAAGAUUAAAUAAUGGCAUCUCACCUGUAACAA